GACAGAGGUCCCGAGCGUUAGGCGGAAUCACUGGGCUUAAAGCGUGUGUAGGCGGAUGCCUAAGUACCUUGUGAAAUCCCACGGCUCAACCGUGGAACUGCUUGGUAUACUGGGUGUCUUGAGCCACUUAGGGGCUACCGGAACAAACGGUGGAGCGGUGAAAUGCGUAGAUAUCGUUUGGAACGCCAAUGGUGAAAACAGGUAACUGGGAGUGCGCUGACGCUGAGACACGAAAGCCAGGGGAGCGAACGGG
rnacentral:rRNA from 1 species